AGAGUUUUGGAGGAUGUUUUCCGCUAACGGCAGUUAGCCUCAUGGACUUGUAUCGGUGUAGACGUGAAGUGCUAAUAAAUUGUCAUGAGAGAAUACUAGUUGUUUACCUACAACUAUCACCCAAUUCCCUCAUGUCUAAUAUUGAAUGUACAGUAGCCUAGUUGUUUCUGCGCCUACUAGAUGGCGCUCGUAACAACACCAUGUUUACUUUCCCACACUUUCUAAAGUGGGCACCUCAGUAUCGUUGCAUCUGUUGUUCACAGUACGAGCAGCCCUUAGCGGCUCGCCAUCUCACAAGUGUUUAUGACGUCGCCUUUCCGGCUUAGAUCUUUUAUAUUAUGUGACAUGUUUCACAUCAGGCCCUGCGUGUGCUCCAUCAAUUUCAAUCACUUUCAUCAAUAUGGUAUUGUUCAAAGGUAUUGUUCCUCCAAAAGGUUGUGAUGAGUUCAUGUAUAGUUGACAGAAAGGCUUGCAGCGGCUCUUUGUUCUUGCCCUACUGUGUGUGCCUUGGAUACUUCUUGCAAAACCCAAUGUUUCGAUAAUGAGGCACCACAAAGCCCACCAACUGACAAUCUUCUGACUUUCCCCAACUUUCAAGCCAUCCCGUACCUGCAGAGAAUGGCAUGGAUGUGGAGGUGGGAUCGAUGUCAGGGACAGCACACUAAGGACAUUACAGAUGGGGCUCCCGUGCCGCAGAGCAGUCCAGACCACGACCUGGGAGAAAUCUUCAUCCAUCAGGGUAUCCACACAAUAGAGUACGUGCUAGGCUCUCACACUGCCUUGUAUCUGUGACUUUGGGCACUGUCACUGGUGCAUGCCCGGUGGAGAUCCAGAGUAAGUUCUAUACUGCUGCAGGAUAUUCAUUCCUGCCAUUCUCAUUCGAGGCAGUUAUGGAUUCUGCAGCUCAAGCACCAGAGGAUUAGAAACAGCAACGCAACCUCAGUCAUCCUGGCUGUGCACUACUUCAAAGUGCUGAGGUUGACAGUCUCUUCUCAUUGUGCAGUACAUUUCAUUGUGCAGUACAUGUAGAUUAUUGUAAAUGAAUUACCAGUAAUAUCGAGGUCGGCGCGCGUUUCCCGAGGUCGGCGCGCGUUUCCCGAGGUCGGCGCGCGUUUCCCGAGGUCGGCGCGCGUUUCCCGAGGUCGGCGCGCUGCCUCCCAUAACUGGGUUAAAACCGCCAGGAGACCCUCUGAUUCCCUGAAGUCAACGAACGCGUCGGGGCUCAGAGGAACCUGAGUGGGGCGGGGACCGUAAUGUCCAAUCUCGUGGCUCUCUGGCUCAGUAACCCCCUCAGAUGGGGCGAAGCUAACACGGGAUGGGCCGUCCAUGCAUGACGUUAAAAGGCUAGCCCUUAACUGGGUGCAAUCCUCACGGUCUGCACUGGCCCACCGUUAACUAGCAAAAGCGGUGGGUGAGACAUGUUCGGUCAUGAUCCCCCGGUACGUGUGGAGACCCCCCUGGGGAACGUAACUCGGGCUUGAGUGCCGCACCGUCUCGAUGAUGUCAAACUCCACAUAUAAGACCCAGCUAUCACCAUCAACAUCUCUGGGCUGUGGAUUUGUGAGGGUUGUCGUGUGUCAAGGCAGGACGUAAAACUCCCGUCGUGGCAAGACAAUAAGUGCCCCCAACCCAAGCGAAAGCAAAGGGUGCGUGGCGCAGGGGAAGCUGCGUCGUAAGGGACACAUCUGUCCCUCGCAGGGCAAACAACAUCUUAGCCCUGCAAUUCCCACGGCCACAUUCGCUGGGGAGGGAUCACGGCCCGAGCCGGCAAAGGCUCAUCGCCGUGAACGGGAUGUCCCGGACACGCUCCGUCAAGCCAGGGCGUGGUGACAUGUCCCUGGCUAGGUUAGAUGGGGCCAGACCUCCGAAAGUCUGGGGGACCGACCCAGCACCUGGGUAGGACUGGGUUCUUGGCCUUCAGGUGGGAACUCGGCCGAGUAGGGGGCGAAGACCGAGAGGUGAAUCCGCCUCUCCGGAAUGCGGUGGGCAUUUGCCGGGGAGGGACGGGUGAAAUCCCCAGUGAUGUGGUCGUGGAAGGGGACUAGUGCGCUGGAAACGGCGUGCUAAACCCAGCAGCUCAUAAGGCUCUUGGUCAAGGGGCGGGACUGGUGAGCGAGCUGCAAUUUGCCCCCCCCCCCCCCCCCCCCCCAUGUCAGAGAGGCCGGUCCGGGGUGAGAGACGGGCCUCCAAUUAAUCACUCUUCAACUCAAUGAUGGCGGAAAACGUGGAGAGUGAUAUAGCGCUACCGGAGCAAGACGCUCCUAUCGAUGCAAGGUCGAAUGUAUCCGUCAUGGAACGACAUGCGCACUUCCUUCGGCUUUUAGACUGAAGUGUCAAACACGGAAAGAUCACCGCAGAUCAAAUCCGGGUGAUCAAAGAAGAAAUUGCCAACUGGGCUUUGGCGCAUGCCAAGCUCGAGGGGCAAUAUGAGGAGAUAAAGGCGGAAAAUGACCGCCUUAGAAAAGAGGCGGCAAAACCCCAAAAGUCUUAUGCUGCAGUUGCAGCAGCACCAACUAUUACAAAACGCACGGUACAAGAAACGAUUAAACAGAAUGUACAAAAAGCCGUUCCAACAGUUUUCAUAAAACCAAAGAAAGGGGACGAUGUUAAGACUGCUAAAGCAAAAUUCGAAAAGAGCAUAAACCCAAGAGUGGACAAAAUAAAAAUAAACCAGAUCAGGACCACGAAAAACGUGCUGAUAGUUGAACUGGCCUCUACCGAGGACAGCGAUAAACUAAUCAGCAACACUAAAAUCCAAGAGUCAUUCACAUGUGAAAAACCCAAAAAGCGCAGGCUACUUAUGAUGAUGUACGAUGUACCAUCAUAUAUGACUCAGAACGAUGUGGCUGACUGCGUCUAUGCACAGAAUUUCGAGGAUAAAAUGACCUGCGAAGAGUUCAUUGAACAAUUCAAGGUCCGUUUUAAGGCAGGCCCUCGUGACCGAAACACUGUGCAUCAUGCUAUCGAAGUAUCACCAGCAUGGCGUAAGCAAAUUAUAACAACCAACAGACUAUACGUAGGUUACAAUGUGAUAUCAGUCAAGGACUAUACUGCCCUUGCCAAAUGUUCUAAAUGUCAUGAUUAUGGACACGUCGCAAAAUACUGCACCUUCCUAAACCCAGUAUGUGGGAAUUGCGGAAGCGAAAAGCACGAUAAAACCAAGUGCGAAAGAGAAACGCCCACCUGCAUUCCAUGUAAAUACCGAAAACGUACCUGCAACACUCCUGGCAAGGAGUGUGUAACUUACAAGAUAAUGAUACAGCGGCUCAUACAGAGGACCGAUUAUGGCGACGCGCUAUAAGGUCACUCGGAAAUCACCAAGUAAACAGUUGCGAGAUGCAGGUCGGUGGCGAAGUUCCAGGAAUCGCAGGAAUCUCUGCCCUCAGUGGUCAACGAGAGAGAGGAGGAAAGGAAAGUCUAUUCUGUUUCAGUUCCAGACGUGCGACCGGAGAUGCUGGACUUCUCCUGCCAGGUCGGGUCCUUCCUGGCCACUAGGAGGAGUCCUCCAGGCGAGACGGCGACUGAGCAGAACAGCUUGGAGUCUCCCUCCUCACAGAGUGGGGGCUUCCCCUCGCGAGUGGAGGGAGAGAUCUACACAGUUCCUGUUCCGACAGAGCAGCCGGAGUU